GUCCGAUUAGUUAGUUGGUGAGGUAAUGGCUCACCAAGACGAUGAUCGGUAACUGGUCUGAGAGGACGACCAGUCACGCUGGGACUGAGACACGGCCCAGACUCCCACGGGAGGCAGCAGUGGGGAAUCUUGGACAAUGGGGGCAACCCUGAUCCAGCGAUGCCGCGUGGGUGAAGAAGGCCUUCGGGUUGUAAAGCCCUUUAGGCUGGGAAGAAGAAUAUGGGAUGAAUAAUCCUGUAUUUUGACGGUACCAGCAGAAUAAGCACCGGCAAACUCUGUGCCAGCAGCCGCGGUAAUACAGAGGGUGCAAGCGUUAAUCGGAUUUACUGGGCGUAAAGGGCGCGUAGGCGGUUGUGUGAGUGUGAUGUGAAAGCCCCGGGCUCAACGUGGGAAGUGCAUCGCAAACGACAUAACUGGAGUAGGUGAGAGGGUGGCGGUAUCUCCGGUGUAGCGGUGAAAUGCGUAGAGAUCGGAAGGAACGUCAAUGGCGAAGGCAGCCACCUGGCACUAUACUGACGCUGAGGCGCGAAAGCGUGGGGAGCGAACAGGAUUAGAUACCCUGGUAGUCCACGCUGUAAACGAUGAGAACUA
rnacentral:rRNA from 1 species